UCCGACUCGUGCAGCUCCCGACAUCCAACUUCCUACCAGUACUAAGCCACGUAUUAUCCUUGAAUUCUUCACACUACUUGUUGGUGUCACAUUAGUUACUUCUAUGUCUUUGAAUGUUGUAGCUCCAUCGUUAGAUUCCAAAGAUCUUCGCUCAUACUUCCUUCCGAGUUCACGCUUCUACCACGUUCUUACCACUGAACUCCUUGGUCCACUUCGGUUCUCAACCGUAGUACCCUGCCUACCAUACGUGACACUGAGUUGAUCAGACUCAAUACACGAUGAUUUCAGAGUAAACAGUCCAGACUCCAAACCGUACUCCUUAAGAUUGAAUUUUAAUGAUCCGCGGCAAGGUCCGAUACUGAAUCGACCUGCUCUGAUACCAAUUAUAACACCCCAUAUUGAUUUAUN
rnacentral:lncRNA from 1 species